rnacentral:rRNA from 1 species
CGUAAGGCGCCGAAUGAGUCAUUAAAAAAUUAACAUCAUCCGAUCCCUAGUCGGCAUAGUUUAUGGUUAAGACUACGACGGUAUCUGAUCGUCUUCGAUCCCCUAACUUUCGUUCUUGAUUAAUGAAAACAUCCUUGGCAAAUGCUUUUCGCAGUAGUUAGUCUUCAAUAAAUCCAAGAAUUUCACCUCUGACAAUUGAAUACUAAUGCCCCCAAUAUCCCUAUUAAUCAUUACGUCAAUCCUAGAAACCAACAAAAUAGGAUCGAACGUCCUAUUUCAUUAUCCAUGCUAAUGUAUUCAAGCGUUAGCUUGCUUUAAACACUUACUUAAUUUUUUUACAAAGUU